CUCCCCGGCCUCUGCCCCCAG
rnacentral:miRNA from 1 species